rnacentral:misc_RNA from 1 species
GGGAGAGAGAGAUAGAUAGGAGAAAGAAAGAAAAUGUGGGAGAAAGACAUUACGAUAUUGACAUUUUGAUCGAAAAAUGUGAUUGUUUUAAUUUUAUGGAAUUCAUUAGAAAUUUCACCUAUUUUGAUAAGAAUUGGAUUUAGUUGAAUUCAAUUCCAUAGAAUUGAAUUUAUGAAAUUGAAAUUGAAAUUGAAUUUUUUUUUUUUCAAAUCAAACAUGCAAAACAUGGAAUU